UGGGGAAUCUUGCACAAUGGGGGAACCCUGAUGCAGCGACGCCGCGUGAGUGAUGAAGCCCUUCGGGGUGUAAAGCUCUUUCGGCAGGGACGAAUAAUGACGGUACCUGCAGAAGAAGCUGCGGCUAACUACGUGCCAGCAGCCGCGGUAAUACGUAGGCAGCAAGCGUUGUUCGGAAUUACUGGGCGUAAAGAGUGCGUAGGCGGUUUGGCAAGUUUGGUGUGAAAUCUCCUGGCUUAAUCUGGGAGGGUGCGCCGAAAACUGUCAGGCUAGAGUGUGGGAGAGGAAAGCGGAAGUUCCUGGUGUAGCGGUGAAAUGCGUAGAUAUCAGGAGGAACACCUGCGGUGUAGACGGCUUUCUGGACCACUACUGACGCUGAGGCACGAAAGCGUGGGGAGCAAACAGGAUUAGAUACCCUGGUAGUCCACGCCCUAAACGAUGCGACUGUGUUGGCCUCAUUGGUCAGUGCCGCAGUUAACGCGGUAAGUCCGCCGCCUGGGGAGUACGGUCGCAAGGCUGAAACUUAAAUGAAUUGACGGGGGUCAUAGCUGUUUCCUG
rnacentral:rRNA from 1 species